rnacentral:lncRNA from 1 species
GGGUGAAAUGUGAUGUCAGCAUACAAGUAUGUUACUUUCUUAUAUGUCUAUCCAACAUGAAGAUCAAGCACAAUUUCAAUCCAUUAAAAUUUUGAUUGACAUACCAGAGUUUCAAAAAACAUCCUUGAUGCUUCCUUUCGAGUUUUACCCACUAAUAGAUGGUCCAGAGCAAGAACCUUCCUUCCUUGCACAGGUUCCCUAACAAAUAAAGUUUGCAAAUACUUGGAAACAGCCCUACAACAAAGAGUAUCAGCAAUUGUAAGAAUAAAGCCACUUCCUGAAAAAAUCAAAGCAAGAAGAAAAACGAUCAUCAACUAGUUGCAUUAUUAAAAUUGCAGACAGAACAAAAUUGUCAACCCCAACAUAGGAACUAAUCUAUCCAAUCAUCUUUAACAAGACUAGAGGGAACAUAUAUAACUACAGACCCAGAGGGAACAUAUAUAACUAUUUGAGAUUAAAUACUAACAUGCAAUCAAAAGCAGGUUGAUUUAAGUAGUCUUGUGUUUAAAUCCCCAUCAUAUUAAUCCAAUUACAAAAACUUGUAUUAGUGUUAGUUGUUAUGUUUGUAGUUGUGAUAGUGUUUACUUCGCAUGCCUUGACAUUAAAUACAAUUUUUGGACACUUAACUAUCAGUUGAACCACGGUCAAGUGUUUUUCUGACACUAACAUACAACUUUAUCACUUCUCAAACAAUUAAUAUGACACCAAUUCUAAAGGAGAAAAAGCUCGCUAUGGAGAACGGGAGGGAUGGAGAAUGGGCAAGGGAAGCAAUGAGUGACCAAGAAAUAUUUUUCCAUAUAAAUAUUUUGAACUGGAGAGAGAGAAAGAGAGACCAAACAACAGUGUAGGAAAUAUUCUUCAGUAGUAAUAAUGGUUACUGUCUUUUUUCCCUUUCUAUUUUAAAAAAAAAAAACACACUUUUGCAAUAUGUUACACACUGAGAAAACAAACCAUGCACAUGAAGCAUACACACCUGGUGCGGGAAGACCAUCCACUAUUCUCAAGAACACGAGCAUCCUCAGGACACCCGUCACCAUCAUCAUAAUCUUCAGCUACUUCAUCAUCAUUUACAUUCAAAAAUUCUGGAAAAGACCCACAAAAAAAAGAGUUAAUAAAAAGGGGUGAAAUGUGAUGUCAGCAUACAAGUAUGUUACUUUCUUAUAUGUCUAUCCAACAUGAAGAUCAAGCACAAUUUCAAUCCAUUAAAAUUUUGAUUGACAUACCAGAGUUUCAAAAAACAUCCUUGAUGCUUCCUUUCGAGUUUUACCCACUAAUAGAUGGUCCAGAGCAAGAACCUUCCUUCCUUGCACAGGUUCCCUAACAAAUAAAGUUUGCAAAUACUUGGAAACAGCCCUACAACAAAGAGUAUCAGCAAUUGUAAGAAUAAAGCCACUUCCUGAAAAAAUCAAAGCAAGAAGAAAAACGAUCAUCAACUAGUUGCAUUAUUAAAAUUGCAGACAGAACAAAAUUGUCAACCCCAACAUAGGAACUAAUCUAUCCAAUCAUCU